AUUGAACGCUGGCGGCAGGCUUAACACAUGCAAGUCGAGCGGAGAUGAGGUGCUUGCACCUUAUCUUAGCGGCGGACGGGUGAGUAAUGCUUAGGAAUCUGCCUAUUAGUGGGGGACAACAUUCCGAAAGGGAUGCUAAUACCGCAUACGUCCUACGGGAGAAAGCAGGGGAUCUUCGGACCUUGCGCUAAUAGAUGAGCCUAAGUCGGAUUAGCUAGGUGGUGGGGUAAAGGCAUGCCAAGGCGACGAUCUGUAGCGGGUCUGAGAGGAUGAUCCGCCACAUUGGGACUGAGACACGGCCCAGACUCCUACGGGAGGCAGCAGUGGGGAAUAUUGGACAAUGGGGGGAACCCUGAUCCAGCCAUGCCGCGUGUGUGAAGAAGGCCUUAUGGUUGUAAAGCACUUUAAGCGAGGAGGAGGCUACUGAGACUAAUACUCUUGGAUAGUGGACGUUACUCGCAGAAUAAGCACCGGCUAACUCUGUGCCAGCAGCCGCCGUAACAC
rnacentral:rRNA from 1 species